GGCGCCGGGGCUGAGGGGCGGCUGCUGCUGCCGCCAGUGCGCGGGGUUAUGCGAGCCGGGUGGCUGGGUCAUCGUAGGAAAGAUGUGGCUGCAGUCGAGGAGAGCACGAUUCCUGCAGAGUCAUCUCCACUCGCACAGCCUGGCCGGCCAGCCCGCCCCGCCCAGGGACAGCAACACCAGCCACCCCACCUCUCUUUUCCUCCCCCACCCCCGCGCCUUGCACGCAGGGCCCAGAGUUGGGGUGCGGUAUGGACUAUGUUUAGAAGCUGAUGUCAUCGCGACACCCUACUCUGCAGUCUUCCCAGAGGGACCGCAGGGCAGGUUUUCCUGAUCUUCGAGGAUGUGGGGGUGGAAAGUGGCCUGCCUUCUCAGCACACCUCACACCCAUGGUACCUCAGGGAUUAAAAAAGAAAGAAAG
ensembl:lincRNA 2410080I02Rik RIKEN cDNA 2410080I02 gene